GCCAGCGUGACUCAGUUGGUAAGACUGGUAAUCAAGGCCGCACACAUUAGAGGUGCGUGGGUUCGAAUCCCACCGCUGGCA
rfam:Blastomyces gilchristii SLH14081 genomic scaffold supercont1.1, whole genome shotgun sequence.